ACACAUUAAGUUGAGAUUCAUAAAAUGGCUUAAGGAACUAAAGUUUAUAGCAUCUAAUAUUUUAGUUAUUCAAUUGAAGCAUUAUGUUGCAAAAGCAACCUCUAUUGUGUAGAUUGAUUAAUUUUAAAAUAUAAGAUGACUGUGAUUGUUAGUCUUCCAUGCGUUUAACAUCGGCCCAAAGGAAGGUGUUAUUUGGCAGGAAUUCGAA
rnacentral:lncRNA from 1 species